rnacentral:rRNA from 1 species
GUGAGUAACACGUGGGUAACCUACCUAUAAGACUGGAAUAACUCCGGGAAACCGGGGCUAAUGCCGGAUAACAUGUUGAACCGCAUGGUUCUACAGUGAAAGACGGUCUUGCUGUCACUUAUAGAUGGACCCGCGCCGUAUUAGCUAGUUGGUGGGGUAACGGCCUACCAAGGCGACGAUACGUAGCCGACCUGAGAGGGUGAUCGGCCACACUGGAACUGAGACACGGUCCAGACUCCUACGGGAGGCAGCAGUAGGGAAUCUUCCGCAAUGGGCGAAAGCCUGACGGAGCAACGCCGCGUGAGUGAUGAAGGUCUUCGGAUCGUAAAGCUCUGUUGUUAGGGAAGAACAAAUGUGUAAGUAACUGUGCACAUCUUGACGGUACCUAACCAGAAAGCCACGGCUAACUACGUGCCAGCAGCCGCGGUAAUACGUAGGUGGCAAGCGUUAUCCGGAAUUAUUGGGCGUAAAGCGCGCGUAGGCGGUUUUUUAAGUCUGAUGUGAAAGCCCACGGCUCAACCGUGGAGGGUCAUUGGAAACUGGAAAACUUGAGUGCAGAAGAGGAAAGUGGAAUUCCAUGUGUAGCGGUGAAAUGCGCAGAGAUAUGGAGGAACACCAGUGGCGAAGGCGGCUUUCUGGUCUGCAACUGACGCUGAUGUGCGAAAGCGUGGGGAUCAAACAGGAUUAGAUACCCUGGUAGUCCACGCCGUAAACGAUGAGUGCUAAGUGUUAGGGGGUUUCCGCCCCUUAGUGCUGCAGCUAACGCAUUAAGCACUCCGCCUGGGGAGUACGGUCGCAAGACUGAAACUCAAAGGAAUUGACGGGGACCCGCACAAGCGGUGGAGCAUGUGGUUUAAUUCGAAGCAACGCGAAGAACCUUACCAAAUCUUGACAUCCUUUGACCGCUCUAGAGAUAGAGUUUUCCUCUUCGGAGGACAAAGUGACAGGUGGUGCAUGGUUGUCGUCAGCUCGUGUCGUGAGAUGUUGGGUUAAGUCCCGCAACGAGCGCAACCCUUGAACUUAGUUGCCAUCAUUCAGUUGGGCACUCUAAGUUGACUGCCGGUGACAAACCGGAGGAAGGUGGGGAUGACGUCAAAUCAUCAUGCCCCUUAUGAUUUGGGCUACACACGUGCUACAAUGGACA